rnacentral:rRNA from 1 species
AACGAACGCUGGCGGCAUGCCUAACACAUGCAAGUCGAACGAGACCUUCGGGUCUAGUGGCGCACGGGUGCGUAACGCGUGGGAACCUGCCCUUAGGUUCGGAAUAACUCCCCGAAAGGGGUGCUAAUACCGGAUAAUGUCUUCGGACCAAAGAUUUAUCGCCUUUGGAUGGGCCCGCGUUGGAUUAGCUAGUUGGUAGGGUAAAAGCCUACCAAGGCGACGAUCCAUAGCUGGUCUGAGAGGAUGAUCAGCCACACUGGGACUGAGACACGGCCCAGACUCCUACGGGAGGCAGCAGUGGGGAAUAUUGGACAAUGGGGGAAAGCCUGAUCCAGCAAUGCCGGGGGAGUUAUGAAGGCCUUAGGGUUGUAAAGCUUUUUUACCCGGGAUGAUAAUGACAGUACCGGGAAAAAAAGCCCCGGCUAACUCCGU